rfam:Gossypium raimondii Chr10_contig_1393, whole genome shotgun sequence.
AUCUUUGCGCUUGGGGCAAUGACGCAGCUAAUGAGGUUCUAACCGAGGCGCGUCUAUUGCUGGUUGAAAACUAUUUCCAAACCCCCUCUUAGACCUGGGUUCAGCCUUGGCCUUCGAGAAUUUCUGGAAGGGCUCCCUUCGGGGUAAAGCC